GAGGGUAGAGCUCAGUGGUAAAGUGCAUGCUUAGCAUUCACGAGGUCCUGGGUUCAAUCCCCAGCACCUCCA
rnacentral:tRNA from 1 species